UAGAAGAGCUGGGCCGUCGGAUAAAAAAAAUAGGAGCUGUAGCAAAGGAUAGUUACUCCGUGCCCCGCCGUGGGCGUUUUCGUCUUUUCACGUGUUGGCCCGUGACAUGUUGAUCUCUGGUUGGAUGAGACGAGGCAGAGUCACCAAUCCCGCGAUGGAAACCUAGCCGCCUCCUUUCCCCGUCUCAGCUCUCUCUCCCUCGCUUGAUCUCCUCUCCUCCCCUCCCCUCCCCUCCACUGCUCCGGCGGCGGCCAGAUCCACCGCAACAGAGCGCUCCCAACAACGACAACGAGCAGCAGCGGAGGGAGGACGAGGAGCACGAUGGCGGCGGCGGCGGGGAGCAGCAGCAGCAGGCAAGGACGGCGCUGCCCUUCUCCGCCAUGUGCGUGCGGAUCUCCUGCAAUCCCUACCCCAACCUCCGCGCCCUCCGUCGUCGACGGGAGAAGCACAGGUCGCGGCUCACGCCGCUGUUCUGUCGGGGUCACCAUCGCCGAGCCGUCGACAUCGUGUUGUGCGUGCGCUCAGGGAUCUGGUUAGGCUUGUUAAUUUUAGCCUCGACAAGGUUCAGUUGCUGCGGAUUGGUGAGCUAUAAAAGGUACCUCGUGUGGCCUGGUUGAGGUACUAUGCUUGUCAUGGAUUGUUGCCUCACGUGUAUGCUUAACACAUCCUGGGUGUUCAGGAGAAGAGACGAGCACCUGCACCCCGUGGGCUGCUCCAAGGAGCACUAGAGGAUCUACGCCGACUGGUUCGCCAUCACCGACCCAGGUGCUUGUUUCGCAAACUUCACGGUUCCCACCACCAGCGCCCCCAAACCGAAGGAUUGGGAGGGGAUGGACGGCGCUUCACUAAUUCUCAAGUGGCCACGUCCCAAACUGUCCCUGCAAAUGGAGACAGGCGCGUCACGGGCGCCAAGGCUACCAAGUUCUUCGCCAUGUCUUGUAGGUUGUUAUCAGUCAUUGGUUGCCUAGAUCCAUCUUACGUGUGGUUGUGUGCAGUCUGCAAGUCCUUUUUUGCUCUUUGAGAGGCGCCACAUACUCAGGGCAUAGAAGGGCUCUUGCACCGGGAGGUAUCAUGGUCUGUAAGGCAAGCAUCAUGGUAUGUACUAUACUUCUCAUGAAAGCUCACAAUAUUAAUCAGUUUGUUGAAGCUAAACAACUAAGCACUUCAAAAUCAUCGAUGUGUAUCUUCGGUUCAUAGUUGUCAUGUUUGUUACUGCAAAAGUGAAAGCUACAAAUACAGGAGGUUCUUCUCACGUGAAAGAUUAGUCUCUCUUUUGAUUUAUUUUAAUUCCCAUUUAUGUAGAAACCUAAUAAUGUACUGAGUUGAAGAGUUGUACUGCUCCUAUUAGUUUAUCAAGCAGUGGUGUGCAUUGGCAUGUAAGAUGCUUGAUUUAAGAUGGAUGAAGAACAUAUCAUUUACUUCAGCGGACAAAUAAACAAGUGGAAAGGCGGGCUUUUCUCCUAACUAUUAAACUAUCGCCAAAAGUUCAGUUUUGAUAUAUCAUCUACCGAACUAUCAUUUUCGUGCACCUAUGUUUGUUACCUCCGUUUCUAAACCAAGUGCAUCAGUGUGUUUAGUUGGGAUUAACAUUUUAUUCUGGUGCUUAAAAUGCGUCUGUUUUGGUUCAGUUCUACCAUUAUAGACAUGAUUGAUUUUAUUAAUACACCCUCUUUAUGGCAUGCACAGUUCAUUCGAUUUGGAUGACAAAAAAAUAUGAGAACGAAAAUAUGCUUCCAAACAAUGAUUCAGAUCCUAAACAGGUGCAUGUACAUACUUUAUUUGUUAGAACCAAAUUGCAUAAAAUCUUAUUGCGUGCACUAGCAAGCAGUUUUUUGAGUCUUUCAAAACAUUUGUCGAUGUACUUAAUCUACUGUAUUAGGUUGUUCAAGCAAUCUAGGAUGUCGACGAGGCAACAACUCAUGCAUUACAGAGGGUGAGUGGCUAUGGCUUCAAGUUUCCUUUACUUUGGGGGCUAAUCAUCUGAUCUAAUGAAUUACUUAUUAACCUUGCAUUUCCAUUUCUUACUGUUGUGUGCAGUCUAUAUUUGAGAGGUUUUUAUCCAUGACCAAAGUGGUAAAAUUGAUAAAUCGGAGCCGUGUGAUGCUCUUCUCAGUCCGGGUUAUUCAGUUUCUCCAACUGUGCUAGACUUGCUCGUGUCUAAAUUCGACAGGAUUGCGGACAUGAGCAAAGCAGUCGAAUAUGAUAACUUUAUUGAGUGAAAUUACUCCUUGAAUUUAAUUUGGCUAACUAUUUCAGAUGCACUUGCAGCACUCAUACAUAUUAUUAUGUUAGAAAUUAAGUUGGAGAUCAUAUGCGUCGAGGCUUGAUCAGUUACAAGAGAACUUCUAUUUUAUUUCCACUCAUAUUAGUUUACUGGUCUUAGUUGAGGUGUUAAAUGAUGUAAAUUAGAACUGUGAUGAAAUCAAUCAAUGAUAUAAGUAUGCACCAGUUAAAUUAAUUCAUUGAAGAAAUUAUUGCCGAAAUUUAAUCAGGGCAUAGCUUAGCAACAUUACUACGAUCAGGGGCGGAUCCAGCAUGGCCUUGUACAAAUUUGCUGCAAGUUACUGCCCUGUUGGUUGAAUGGCCUACACCAUAUUGAUAAAUUAUCAUCUAAUUACCUGUAUGUGCCUUGAAUUACCUUUUUUGGCCAUACAAUUUUUGAAGGUUCAAAUAUUUGGAAACCACAUCUCAUUUGCAUUGGAACUGCGGGAUUCUUUGACUGAUCCUGACCAAGUCUGCAUGCCAUCAGUUACAGAAUAUUGGAAACCACUUGCUGAAGAUGCAAGCACUUUAGUUUUUCUUCCAUUUUUAUUUUACACCUCGGAUUCGUUCAUCCUUUUGUUUUAUGUUCAUCAACUGCACAUCUGGAUUUCUCUUGUAGUAAAACACCAUCGAAGCAAACAUGAUCCUCAUUGCAUUGAGGACAAGGAUAGCGGGCUAUGGCUCCUUUUCCCUUUAAUGGCUAUUUUUUAAUAGAUAGUUGUUGUUGAUUUAAGCUCCAGAGAUCCUCAUAUCCUUGUUUGGUUGAGAGAAGGUGGUCUACAAAUUGGUACGGAUGUUAUAGAUUUUUUUCCAUUUCUGCGGAAA